rnacentral:tRNA from 2 species
AGCCCGGUGGUGUAGUGGCCAAUCAUCCGGGGCUUUGGACCCCGGGACCGCGGUUCGAAUCCGCGCCGGGCUACCA